rnacentral:lncRNA from 1 species
GAUUGGCCGAGGUGCCUUUCCCAGCAGCCACGGCACUUGCUGCCUUAGUAUCCUCCUUGUUUGGCGGCAUGAUGAAUUUCCAUGUUGCCUUUUUCCUGGCCUCCAAUGGCAGCGUGGUCUCCUUUGUCUUUGGCAUCAAAAGCAAAUUUCCCUUUCUUGGAGGGUGCGACAUCGGGCGUCUCAUCCCUAGGGCGCUCGCCAAUGUUAUUCCCUUGGCAGGUGAGGAUGACCUUAUCGCCUAGCUUGC